rnacentral:rRNA from 1 species
GAUGAACGCUGGCGGCGUGCCUAAUACAUGCAAGUCGAGCGAACGGACGAGAAGCUUGCUUCUCUGAUGUUAGCGGCGGACGGGUGAGUAACACGUGGAUAACCUACCUAUAAGACUGGGAUAACUUCGGGAAACCGGAGCUAAUACCGGAUGAUAUUUUGAACCGCAUGGUUCAAAAGUGAAAGACGGUCUUGCUGUCACUUAUAGAUGGAUCCGCGCUGCAUUAGCUAGUUGGUAAGGUAACGGCUUACCAAGGCAACGAUGCAUAGCCGACCUGAGAGGGUGAUCGGCCACACUGGAACUGAGACACUGUCCAGACUCCUACGGGAGGCAGCAGUAGGGAAUCUUCCGCAAUGGGCGAAAGCCUGACGGAGCAACGCCGCGUGAGUGAUGAAGGUCUUCGGAUCGUAAAACUCUGUUAUUAGGGAAGAACAUAUGUGUAAGUAACUGUGCACAUCUUGACGGUACCUAAUCAGAAAGCCACGGCUAACUACGUG